rnacentral:rRNA from 1 species
GACGAACGCUGGCGGCGCGCUUAACACAUGCAAGUCGAGCGAGAACCAGGGCUUCGGCCCUGGGGACAGCGGCGAACGGGUGAGUAACACGUGGGUAAUCCACCCUCGGCACCGGAAUAGCCCGGGGAAACCCGGAUUAAUGCCGGAUGGCCCGCCGGCCCCGAGGGGCUGGCGGAAAAGGUAGCUUCGGCCUCCGGCCGGGGACGAGCCCGCGACGGAUUAGCUUGUUGGUGGGGUAACGGCCUACCAAGGCUGCGAUCCGUAGCUGGUCUGGGGGGACGAUCAGCCACACUGGGACUGGGACACGGCCCAGACUCCUACGGGAGGCAGCAGUGGGGAAUCUUGCGCAAUGGGCGAAAGCCUGACGCAGCGACGCCGCGUGGGGGAAGAAGGCCUUCGGGUUGUAAACCUCUUUCAGGAGGGACGAAGCCACUCGGGUUAAUAGCCCAGAGGGUGACGGUACCUCCAGAAGAAGCCCCGGCUAACUACGUGCCAGCCGCCGCAGUAACAC